GAGCAGGGGGCAGGGGGUUGGGGGAGAGGAGAACCCAGAGGAGGGGAGAGGGAGCCAGGGAGGGGAAGGCAGCCAGAUGACAGCCGAGGAGGAAGGGUGCCCUCCCCCCAAAUACAGAAGCAAGUAUCUAUGACCCCAGCUGGCCAACGACCAUCCCAAGGACUCAGAAAUUCAGGUGAGUUCAGAACCCGCUUUCCCUCCCGGGUCUGGGACUCGGGGUGGUCCAAUUUCCUCUCUAUGUGUACCUCAGAAAAAUCAUCAGAAUGAGGGCCCAGGAAACAGAAGUGGACUUGAGGCGGCCUGACAGCAGUGAGUUGAUGGAAGAGGAUACCCCCCAGAGGCUGCUCCCCUUCCAGGCCCCAGCCCUCGCCUGGACCCCAGCUCUCCCCCACCCCACGGUCAGGAAGCCCGCCUCGCCCUGUUUGCCCCACCCUGGGACAGACCCUGCAGGCAAACAGGGGCUUCUGGGGACCCUCCCCGCAGAGUCCCCACCCAAAGGCCUCUCCCUCCCCGAGGCGGGGGAGGGCGGGUCCCGAGAUCUCAGGCCUUGAUCCCUUUGCCAUAGGCACGACUUCCUGGCCACCCCCUCUGCCUUCGACUGCCACCCCCUCAUCCCCUCAACAUUCCACAGCCCCCCCCCGCCAGCAGAAGGCACUGCUGCCCCACCAUCCCUGCGGUGGAAACCUCCCUAUCAUGCCGUGGCCUUUGCUCACUGCCACACGCCACCGGGCAUCCUCUACCCCCACAGGGGUGCCUUUCCCAGAAGCAUCUGGGCUGUCAGACCGCACAGAGCCACGUGGGGACAGGACCGGGCGCCGGCUGCCUUGGUGGGGCCUCUGCUGCCCUCCCGUGGGCUGCAGGCAAGAGAGCCCCUGGCCCGUGGCAUCAAAGGUGUCGCCUCCUCUCCUUGCCUCCUGGGGGUAGCACCCAGGGGCCUCCUUUCCUCUGUGGAUAUAAGACGGUUCAGUGUAAGGACAGUGCUCAGAACAACGCCUGGUCCUUAGGGAGAGCUCGAUAUAUGUUAAUAUCACCCUCUAAAUUAAUCCUCAUAGCAUCCCUGUGAGGUCAGCAUUAUGCGCCUACUUAACUGGUGGGGAAACCGAGGCAGAGAGAGGCGAAGCCACUGCCCCGAGUUUAGCAGCACUAACCGGCUGAUCAGGGAUUUGAACCCAAGUCUAUUGGAAGCUGUGCUUUCCAGGCUUUCCAGUCUGCGCUGGUUUGGCAGCCGGCUUUGGACACACACACACACACACACACACACACACACACACACACACACACACACACACACACACACACACACACACACACACAUUCAUACACACACACACACACACACAUUCAUACACACCCUGUACCCCCACCCCGCGGGAGGGGAUGAGAGGCUGCACCCCACCAAGAGGAGGAGGCGGAGCCUUUCUGAGGCACCAGCCUCCUGUUCGGGCUCCAGAGCAGCACGCGCGCCACCUGGUGGCCAUGAUAGGUAAAUGCCACCUCGGUCCCAGUCUACCCCUCCCUGCCCGCAGCCUGGCGCUUCCUGUGGCCCCUGGGGCUAAGGUGUGUGCUGAGGCUGCAGAGCUGAUUCUGCAGAGCUGUUGCGUCCCAGGUUAGGCCCCCAAACCAGGGCAGACUGGAAAGCCCCAGGCCUGGUGGCUGAGAGCACAGCUUCCAAUAGACUUGGGUUCAAAUCCCUGACCAGUGGGCUAAACUCAGGACACGGAAGUCGGUUUCCUUUCCACUGAGCUUCCUCCAGGGAUGGAGAAAUGAGCCAUCCCCGUGUUGCUGUGCUUGGGCUGCUGGUGGUUUGGGACAGGUGUUGCAGCAGAAAGUUCAUUUUGCUGAAAAUACAUCGUAUAUUUCCCCCAAAUGCCUAUUCUAGUUAAUAUUCUUUUUCUUUUUUGGCUGCACCUGAGACAUGCAGAAGUUCCCAAGCCAGAGAUCAAACCUGCACCACAGGAGUGACCUGAGCCACUGCAGUGACAAGGCUGGAUCCUUAACCUGCUGCAUCAAAAGAGAACUCCCCUAUUCUUUUCCUGAUUCCUUUAUGUAAGUGACAGGUUAUUCCAGAGGCGCUUUCCCCACUUAGCCUGGUGCUGGCGGCUCAACCCAGCUCUUCCUCCUCCUCCAAGCUCGCUCUGCUCCUGGGUCUGGGGGCGCCCGGCUGCAUCUCCCUCCCAGGCUUUCCUCCCAAGCUGCCGCACUGGCUCUUCAGCAGCCUGGAGGCCUACCCCACCAGGGCACGUGGCGGUCCCCUCCAAGGGACCUGCCUCCAAUGUGACUUCCUACCUACCUGCUCCCAUGGUUGUAAGCAAUCCUCAUCCAGUUAACUCACUCAGGUUUAACUACAAUUUCCACAGCACAGGUGAAAGUUGGGGGUGCAGGGAGGGGUCUGAGGAUUUGGACAACCUGGAGCCGGAAGCCAGACCCCGGCUGACUUGGUCCAGAAGCUGCAGGGGCCCAUGGGGCUGGAUGGCUCAGGAGGACGGUUGGGGGCAGGAUGGGACCUAACAUGCAACGGGAAAUGAAGAUUUCCAGAUGACUUUUCACGUGGGCAGUAAACCAAGCAUCGGGCCCCUUGGAGCACCUGGGUCAGGUCGGACAGGAGGUGAAGGAAGCCAGGCGGGACUGUGGCUCUGGGCCUCUUCAGCCAGGUCCAGGGUAGGUUGUAGGAGAUGUGCCUGCUGCCUUCCCACAAGGUGACCCCCUCCCCAGCCUCCCAGGGGCCCCUUGUUGAGAGUAGAAAGGCCCCUUGGGUCCUGAGAGCCAGAAAGCAGGGGCGACAGAGAGGGGGCACUGCUGCUUUCUCUCCUUUGACCAGAUCCCUCCUCCCUGUCAAUCCUCGUCUCUGACCUCAAAAUCCCCAGAUAGGAGCUCCCGUCAUGGCUCAGCGGAAAUCCAUGAGGACACAGGUUCGAUUCCUGGCCUCCCUCAGUGGGUUAAGGAUCUGGCGUGGCCAUGAGCUGUGGUGUAGAUUGCAGAUGCGGUUCGAAUCUGGUGUUGCUGUGACUGUGGUGUAGGCUGAUAGCUGUAGCUCUGAUUCAACCCCUAGCCUGGGAACCUCUAUAUGCCAAGGGGGUGGCCCUAAAAAGCAGAAAAAUAAAAUAAAAUAAAAUUAAAUUAAAAAAUAAAAUAAAAUAAAAUAGGGAGUUCCCGCCAUGGCUCAGUGGAAACAAAUCUGACUAGCAUCCAUGAGGAUGCAGGUUCGAUCCCUUGCCUUGCUCAGCGGGUUAAGGAUUCGGCACUGCCCUGUGCUGUGGUGUAGCUCACAGACCCAACUCUGAUCCUGCAUUAUUUUGGCUGUGGUGAAGGCCAGCAGCUGCAGCUCCGACACAACCCCUAGCCUGAGAAUCUCCAUAUGCUGCGGGUGUGUCCCUGAAAAGACAAAAAAUAAAAUAAACGAAGCUCCCAGACAACCCAGAGGGAUUCUCAUAUCAGGACCAGUAGCUUCCCCACCCCCCCACGUCUCCCCACACUAGGUCCCUGGGCCAGGAGCAUUUAAAAUGUGCGGCAGGAGUUCCCUGGGGGCUCAGUGUGUUAAGGAUCCAGCGUUGUCACUGCUGUGGCUCUGGUUGCCUCUGUGGCACAGGUUCACUCACUGGCCUGAGAACUUCCACAUGCCACAGAUAUGGGCAAAAAAGAAA
rnacentral:lncRNA from 1 species